AUGGCCACUUCCCAUUCAUUCCAGGACAUCUUUAUCGUCACUUGUUUUUCCAAAUUGAUUUUAGAAUCAUUUUUGCCACUGUAUUCCAGCCUAGGCAACAAAGCAAGACUCUAUCUCCAAACACACACACACAUUAUUAGAAUAGAUUGUGUUAAUUGGGAUUUGGAACAAUUAUUACUGCAGAGAUGCCUUAAAAGAGGACUACCUUGCUCUUUCAUUGGGGCCGCCAACAUACCAUCCAGACUGAGGAAGACCCAGAAACUUCAGGGCUACGUUUGCCAUGGCUGCAUCUGUAAGCACUGGAAGCACCCCAGAGGCUGUGGUAAAUGCUGGUGAUCUGCAUCACCACAGGACCAGCUUCAACAAAUACCGCCCAGGUUCCUUUGGUAAAGUUGGUAUGAGGCAUUACUUCUUGACGGAGGAACCAGACUUCUGCCCAGCUGUCAACCCUGACAAAUUUUGGACUUUGGUCAGGUAGCAGACACGGGUGAAUGCUGCUAAAAACAAGACUGGGGCUGCUCCCAUCACUGAUGUGGUGCGAUCUGGCUACACAAAGUUCUUGGAAAGGGAAAGCUCACAAAGCAGCUUGUCAUCUGAAGGCUAAAUUCUUGAAUAGAAGAGCUGAGAAGAUUAAGGGUGUGGGGUAGAGGGGACGGUGUCCUGAGGGCGUGAGGCCGCAUGGAGGGAGACGGAUUUUCUUAUACUACAAACUAGGUGUGGUCACCUACGCCUGGCCAGGAAUCUAUAUUGCUACCAAUCGACCAGGUGACAGCCCUCUUGGUGUCCGGGAAGCACGGAGGACCUACACCGCCUACGCCAGGCCCCGCUUGUCAUAACCCCGAUGAAGAGCCACCCCAUAUACAUACCCUCCCUGCCCCUCUUGGAAACGUUGCAGAAGAAAGGAUGUCCUACAGUUGGGUGUAGCAAACAACAAAAUUCCCAGUCAUAACAGGUUACCUCUUUGUAGAAGGGCUCUCAGAAAAGUGACGCGUCCUUCUCUCCUGUAUUGAUCAAAGCUGUAAACAGCAGGACAUUUGGGCCCUUUAAGAGUCUAAAUGAGUCCCACUCAGAGAUAAACUGAAACCAUUAAAUGUUUUGCCUAGUUGUUGUGCUAUCCCAGAAUUAAAAGCUGUGGGGUUGGGCGCGGCGGCUCACGCCUGUAAUCCCGGCACUUAUCACCUGAGGUCAGGACUCCUGACCACAAUGGUGAAACCCCGUCUCUAAUAAAAAUACAAAAAUUAGCCAGACAUGAUGACCUGUGCCUGUAAUCCAGCUACUCGGGAGGCUGAGUCAGGAGAAUCAUUUAAACCCGGGAGGCGUAGGUUGCAGUGAGUCAAGAUAACGCCACUGCACUCCACCCUGUGCCACAGAGCAAGACUGUCUCAAAAAAAAAAAAAAAAAAAAGCCCUCGGGCCUGAAAAAUUAUUAGUCCUACAGUUUAACCUAACAGUGGAUUAAAAUAGUCACGUGGCCUGGCCACACUAUCUUACCAAGUGGCACAGCUUUUACGCGGAAAUUUUACAGUCUUAAUAGAUGAAUUGCAAAAGCAUUUUUCCCUGUUACAUCAAUUCCGGGACCCAAUCCGACAGAAAAGGGAUGGAAGGAGUGUGGCGAGUGCUAUUGAUUGACGUGCAUUCGAACCAACCUACAACGCAUGAAGAACGCGCGUGCGUGUGUGAGCAAGCCCGUGUCCAAUCACUACUCAACGGCAGUGGCGGGGGUGGGGCUUGUGGAAACGGCCCGCCGCAGGGUUGGCAGUCUUGAGAAGCAGCGAAUAUGGCGGAGUGAGGCGUUCCCCUGUGAACUGGCCUCUGGGCCGGGGGCAGGCCAGUCCGGCCAGCCCCCGGGAGGCCGAGUGCAUCUGUUGGACCGUGCGAGGAGAAGAAAAAAAGAGAUCGGCCAGAGGAAAGGAACCGAACAUUCUUCCUUGCCUGCCUUACCAAGGGGAGUGGUCACCUACACUAAAGCAAAGGUCUAAAUAGAGGUCUAUAAACUACUGGAAAUUUUAUGCACAAUUACAAAUUUUUGUGGGAAGAAGAAGGUCCAUAGCUUCAGAUUCUCGAAAAGGACGGUGUUCCAGUAAAACUUGAGAAUCAGUGCUUCAAGACUUGACAUCUUUUUAAAAAUAAUGCCAAUGCAGAUUCCUUAUCACAGGAAGAACAUUUUCCUUGACAUUUGGGUGCUUUUAUAUUCAUCUUAAGAACAAAAUUCUGAACUCAGGACUUGGCAAAUAGUCUUGCUCUGUCACCCAGACUGGAGUGCAGUGGCACCAUCUCGGCUCACUGCAACCUCUGCCUCUUUAGUUCAAGCGAUUCUUGUGCCACAGCCUCCCGAGUAGCCAGGAUUACAGGUGUCUCUACGUUGUCUCCUGGAGUGUGUAGUUCUACUUCUUUUACCCAGUUACUUUCCCUACUCUUAAAAUGUGGAUGUCACUUCUCUAUACCUUACCUCCAUGAUUUGGAAUGAAAAAGUCCACCUUUUUUUUGUUCUGCCUCUCAGACUGAACACAGAGGAGCUCCUAGGAUUCCAGUUAUCUUGCCAACUUCACGAAGAAAGAAGCAACUCGCAUAGGUUUUCUGCGGUUUGCUUAAUUAUAAAGACAUCGUUUUGCAAGCUGAAGUCUGAGUUUCAUCUGAAACAGGUGCUUAGGUGGUGGUAUUUGUGAAUACUUUUCGUUAUGAACCAGAAGACUAAAUAAAUAGCAAGUAUGGAUGACUUCAGGGUUUAAAAACAAAAAUGUCUUCCAGUUUCAGCCACUAUCCUGAUAAGCACAGUUGAGACUGCAGCAGUAAAUUCCAAAUAUGCAUUUCUAAUUUGACAUGAAAAAUAGUAAAAAAUUACAUAUAUUUAUUUAUUUAAAUCUUGGCUCAUCCUGUGACAUAGAUUUACUGAAUAAGAACAAAGGCGCAAUUUUAUACAAAAGCCGGGGCCAAGCACGGUGGCUUAUGCCUGUAAUCCCAGUACAUUGGGAGGCAGAGGCAGGCGGAUCACCUGAGGUUGGGAGUUCAAGACCAGCCUGACCAACAUGGAGAAACCUCAUCUUUACUAAAAAUACAAAAUUAGCCAGGCAUGGUGGCGUAUGCCUGUAAUCCCAGCUACUCCGGAGGUUGAGGCAGGAGAAUUGCUUGAACCUGGGAGGUGGAUGGAGGUUGCAGUGAGCCGAGAUUGUGCCACUGCACUCCAGCCUGGGCAACAGAGUGAGACUAUCUCAAAAAAAUGAAGAAAAAAAAACAACUUUGGACACAGAGGAGUCGGGGUGGGAUGGGAGGUUGAGAGAAUUUUUCAUAUAACUCCUUUUCCCUAAGAAAAGCAAAAAUGCCUCAUGCAGUGACAUCUGACUUUAUGGUGUUUCAUAUUAUAUAUUCACUGUUUUCCUGCAACCCAAGGUGGAUACUUGGAUGUCAUUUCUUUUAUUUAUUUAUUUUAUUUAUUUAUUUUUUUGAGGCAGUCUCACUCUUUUGCCGAGCCUAGAGCCAGUCUCUGCUGCCCAGAUUCAAGUGAUUCUCCUGCCUCAGCCUCCCAAGUAGCUGGGAUUACAGGCGCCCACCACCAUGUCCGGUCUGAUUUCUUACUCAAGAUACUAGGUGUAGUGUUAGGCUCAAAAGGCUGGGACUCAGGUACUUUUCCUGGUUGGGACUGAACUUUCUCAUGAGAGAAUGCAUGGGCCUCAGAAGCAAUGUUCCCAAACUUGUAAUUGGAUCAUUGUAGAUUCAGGAUGUUGAAAAGAUACCUUGAACAAGAAAAAUAGUUACAAUAAGAAAUGGAUUUUCUUUUUUUUUACCAUAAUAGUUAUUCAUUAUAAAGAACAGACUCUCAUAGAAAACUGUCCUUGCUUCCAAAUCAGCUGAGAACCAUUGUAUGUACUGUCAUGUCUUUACAUAAGAGUGAAACCUUUAUUUAUGCUUCUUUGUGAGUAGAGAAUAAAUUUUAAAACUAAUUAGUUCAAAUUAAGGACAGAUAGUAUUGGAACAUCUGUGUGUUUUCCAGAAUGUUUACUCAGGGCCAUGAAUGCUGUGAUGCUGGGACUUAGGGCAGAGUCACCAAAAUUUGAGAGUGAUAGAAAUGGCCCAAAAUGGGAAAUUACUGAGAUUGGUCAAUCAACCCAUUUGAAAUGGGUAAAAAAUACUUUUAGUGAAAUAAUUACACAUUAUAUGUAAAAUAUAAUUUCUUUUUUUGAGGGCAGCUACAAGUGAUAAAGCGUAGUAGAAAUAACUUUAGUUAAAAGUAACUCAGAUUUUUCUCUAAGUAAUCUACCUACUUCCUGAUGUUCUUAAUAUUUUAGAAUUGUUCAAGACAGUGGAGCCUACAUGUUUGGGUUCUACUGAUAUGUUUAAAAUGUCAUAUCAUAGAGAAUUUGUACCUUCCAGUUGUCUGUUACUUGUCUUCUCUGUGUACUUUGGCAUCUUUUUGGGUAGGAUCAUUUGGCAGGGGGUAGAGUACCUGUACUUUUGACACCAUUGAAAGCAGCUCUGGCCCACUUGUUUGGAUAGAUAUCAGACUCGCGUCUCCAUAUGCUUUAUAUUUUUUCAUUUCACAAUUGAGAGAACCAGCAUUUAAUGCUUUUUGAAAUUGUUUCUGUAUCUACCAUGGUUCAGACCAGGUGCAUUUAACAAAAUGGAUAUAUUCCAGCUGUAGUUGCCCAGUGUUUACUUAACACAUCUACAUUUUUUUCUUGUCAAUUUUUGUCCCCUUGAUAGGAAAAGCUAUAAUUUAGGCGGGACUAUGCGUUGAUUUGCAGCCAUGCUUCCUUCCUUUCCCUUGCUUAUCCAUGUUAGCUGGCAGUUUUUCUUUUGAAAAACGGGACAUGUGCAAUAGAAAUAUAUAUAUAUAUGUAUAUUUUAAUACUUGUGGACAAAUGUUACAAGUUGUUUGAGAACAACAAAAUCACCAAUGUCUUCCAUUUUGAGAUGUGUAUAGUUUUGUAAGCAUUAGUGCUUGGUAGCAUAUUGUAGUGCCAUGUUAGGGGUUAGUGCAUGAGCCUAGUAAUUUUAAAAUUCAGGGGGAAUUAUUGAUAAUAACAAAUAAUGUAAAAAGAGUGGAAAUCUGAACCUUUUCUUUUUUCAUAAUGUCUAAAUCUGUUAUAUUUUCCCUGGGGAAAAGAGAUUAAGGCCUAAAAGAUUCAUUUAUGAAUAGAAAUAUAGGGUCAAAAUCUGAGAUACUAUGUUUGAGGACAUUUCAGCUUUCCAUAAGCAAUCUGGAAACCAGCUGCCUUUAUGUCUUACGAAACCUCAAGUCAAAAUGAGACCCCAUUUCAUUAUUCUACUUUGAUUUUUUUUUUUUGAGACAGAGUCUCACUCUGGCCCAGGCUGGAGUGCAGUGGUACAAUCUUGGCUAACUGCAACCUCCACCUCUUGAGUGGCUGGAACUACAGGCACGCGCCACCAUACCCAGCUAAUUUUUGUAUUUUUAGUAGAGACGGGGUUUUGUCAUGUUGGCCCCGCCCGUCUCAAACUCGUGACCUCAAGUGAUUCGGCCUGCCUUGUCCUCCCAAAGUGCUGGGAUUACAGGCAUGAGCCACCACACCCGGCCUGCUCUUGAACUGUCUUUGCAUGGCAUGUAUUUUAGGUUCAUUAUUUUCCUACUCCUUGUGUGUCAAGAAAUUAUAUUUUGUAUGUCUUAUGGAGAUGCUGUGUUAAUUGCUUUAGUGAGUGCUUUUCUAAUCUGCAGACCAUUUACAUUUCCUCUUUGUAGCAUGCUCUGUGUAAACACUCAGUAAUUUGGAGUAUUCAGUUAUUUGUUAUGGGCUCUUCCUAUUUCCAAAUCUGCUGAAUUGUCUAUUGAUGGGAUUUCAGACUUUUUCAUGAGAACUGGAAAUGUAGCUGGGUGAUGCUUACCUAGGUUGCUAUGUAACAGGUAGACUCUUUUCCUUGGUUAUAGUAAGCCUCAGACAGCUUUCACUUUUAUCUACUUUACUUGUGGAAAUAAAACUGUUGGUUUAUUCUGAAAGCUAUCUUCUGAAAGAUAAGAAUACGGUAACUUUCUGAAAGAAUAAGAUAGCUUUCUUAGGGAAGUAAUUCCUACCUGUAAAAGCUGCCUUGAGAACUCAGAGUGGCAGUUUUCUGAGGUGAUUUUUAAAUUUCAGUAUUAGGAAGCGUCCAUCAUUUGCUGACAGAUUCUACAUAACUAUUGUAUGAUAACAAAUGCAAAACUAUUAUAAUGUGGUAUAUCUUGUGCAUACAAAGGUUAGAACAAGUAGAUUCUGGCAGCAGAUCUCCAGAGACCCAAGUUUAGAUUCUCAUAGUGUAUGCGAAGUAGUUAUAUUCUUGGCUUGAAUAGUUUAGUGCCUGGGACAAUCUAUUACUGAAAAGCAAUUAUUAAAAAAAAAAAAACUGAAAAGGUAAUGAAUGCAGAAUAGCACAGCAUAUAGGAAAGGAUAUUUCCUGUUGCAAAAAAAAAAAAAAAGCCAUAAAAUGAAUAGUAAAUUUCAAGAGAUAGAAUUGUAGUAGCAAUAACAGUUUUUGCAUGUAUAGUAAUUUGCAUUAGCAAGGUUGUAUGAUAGAAUAUGUGAUACUACUUGAGUUUGUGGGGCUCUGAAAUCAACAGUUGCACAAAAGGAAAAAAUGUUCUGGAUAAAGAGCAUAUAAAAGGUACUUUUAGAACAGUAUGAAUGUAUAUGAAUUUAUCUUUGUGUGAGAAAUGUCAGCUUUUGUGUAAGUUAAAGGUUAAAGACCCUAUUUGUUUCCUAAUUCAGAGGGUUAGAGCCGUUGAAAUUAAACCUUUAUAGUGCUUAACCUGAAAACAAAUGUACUACAGCCCCACUGAAGCAGCUGUGUGGGUUUUUUCCUUAAGAGGUUUUAGCAACAGGCAUUUAUUCUGUAGAGUGGUAUACUUUCUGCUUUGUCUCAUCUUUCUCCAUUGGUUUCCUGGGUACGUUUUUUAAAGGGAGAGAAGUUCCUGAGUUUAAUGUUUAAAAUAAAACUCCCACAAACAUAGAUAAGCUGGAUUUCUCUCAUGAUUAGGGAAUAAGGAUUUAAAGAUGAAAGGCAGAAGGAUUGAAGGGAAUAGCCAUUGAAUAUUUGGGUGGGUAGGGUGUAAAACCUUUUCUAAUGUGGAUAUGGCCUAUGGCCUGUGACUGCUUAUUUAUCAAGGAGAACCCAGUAAACUAGUUUCUUGCUUGAUCUGAGGAACCACACAGCUCGCAUCAGGAUAUAAUAGUGGAACUAGGGUGACUUCACUCCCUUUUACCUGAUGUCUAAUCCUGGCCUUUUAGCACUUUGACUAUCCCUGAAAAGACUGGGUCUACAUUUCCUUGUUUUCCCAGGGAAAAAACUGAAAGAUAAGUGAUGUAGAUCUAGGAAUAGUGCCUCUUAAUUCUUACAUGACAACUAAUGCAUAGGGAAAAGGCUAUGUUGAUUGUAGAUCCACUUUAGUGUCUUAGAGACAUUGGAAUAACUAAGCAAUAUUCAGAUAUCUGCACAUCUGGGGACAGUGUUAUCUAUUACAAUGAUGUCAACAGUUCAGUUACUUGGAACAAUUAAAGAUUACCCUUAACAGCCAUGUUAAUAAUUCUAAAUGCUAAAAUACACUACAAGCUUUCAGUCUUGAAAGUUUGCUGUUAUUUUAAAAAGUUGUUGUGGUCUCAUGUUUACUCUUCGUGUAUCUGUGAUAUGCAAAAAGAAGAGACUCUUGGCCUCCAGGUGUUUACAUUCUCAUGGUGCUGUUGGUGCAAGCAAAUUGCUUCGUUUAUUAAUAAACUAAUUGGCUAUUGAUUAUAUCCUAUUUGGAAGAAUCCCUUGGUGAACAGUUUUAAAAAGCAGAGAGCUGUGUUAAAUUUCAGGGCAUUGAUGCUUGAGUUUACAUUGUAUUAGCCUUGCUCGUUAUCAUUUUUUCCCCAGGGAGCUAUGCAGGUAAUGCUCAUUAGUGUGAAUUAGAACAGAAAGCACCUGUGCUGUCCUGUUACAGUUGUCAGUAAUGGCUAAGAAAAUUUAUAGCUCUUUAAGACUGUUUUUAUAUAAUUCUCUACUCAGAAGGGCCAGGAUUUGCAUAUAAGCCUUUUAAAACUGAUUAGUGGUCCUAAUUUUAACAUUUUUGUGUACGACUCCUCUGUCUCUGUUCUGAAGCAGCAUUGUGAUAGAAGUGGAGCAUCUACCUGCAUUUCUAAGCAAUUAUUAACCCAACUUUUGAGUUGAAACUUGUUGUAUGGAUCCUUGUUAUUUCCCAUAAUUCCUCUGAAUCAAGGAGUUUAUUUUGCAUGCUUAUUAAACUAAAACUGAGCCUGAUUCAAAGUGCAAGCAAUAGUGGCAGGCCCAUAACUCUGCUUUUAGAGUAUGAACAUUCUAAUGCAUGACUGAAAAUGUCCAGUGUUGUGGUUACUAGUAGUUUUAUAUAUGCAUUUAUUAACAAUGAAGCAAUAGAGACUAAAACCAAUAGCUUGAAUUUAUUCCGAUUGUUUUCAUUUUUUUUUUAUAAAGGAUUUUUCUUCCAUUGAAAAUGGGAAGAUAAACAGGGGCAACCAUAAGACAUUCAGACUGUCAGGACUAGGGCAUAACAGUGCCCACCCUCUAACCUCUUGCCUGGUUCCAUUAGUCAGUCCCCAAGCAUGUUUGAAAACAAAAGACACAAACUAAGCAUGUUGAAUAAAUUAGCUGUUAUGGCUAUAAUAAUCAGAAAGGUGCAGAGUUUCACAAAGAGUAGGAAUGUAGGGAAUGCUAGUAUGGAGUAUGUAAAAUAACUAGAUGUGGAUAUGGAGUUCGUUUAUGAUAUUUAUAAACUAAAAAUCCCAGAUGUUUAUACAUGUUUAUACAUCUGGGAUUUGAGUUGAAUAUAAUCAGUGUGCGCAAGAAACAAAAUACCCCUGACACCCUGCAACAAGGGAGACUUCCCUUUAUCUGUGGUUUAGUUUCUGUUAUUGUAUUGCAUACAGAAUAGUUUAAACAAAUUUUAUAGCCAAAGUUCUAACCUUGAUGGGUUUGGUCAGACUACAAUUCCUUGAUUUUUUUUUUUUUUUUUUUUUUGAGACGGAGUUUCGCUCUUGUUACCCAGACAGACUGGAGUGCAAUGGCACAAUCUCGACUCACUGCAACCUCCGCCUCCUAGGUUCAAGCAAUUGUCCUGCCUUAGCCUCCCGAGUAGCUGAAACUACAGGCGUGCACCACCACGCCCAGUUAAUUUUUGUAUUUUUAGUAGAGACGGGGUUUCACCAUGUUGACCAGGACGGUCUCAAUCUCUUGACCUCGUGAUGCACCCGCCUCAGACUCCCAAAGUGCUGGGAUUAUAGGCAUGAGCCACUGUGCCCGGCUUACAAUUCCUUGAUUAAAGCUUUUGAUGCCAGGUUAAACAGGAGAAACCUUUUCCACUUUAAAAGAAGAAAAUCCUUGCCAUUUAUUUGACGAAUAAACAUAUUUAUUGCAGUAGCUUAAAAUUUUUCUUUUCCUUUUAUUUUUUUAAACAGUCUCACUCUGUUGCCCAGGCUGGAGUGCAGCAAUGUGAUCUCGGCUCACUGCAACCUCCACCUCCCUAGUAGCUGAGUUUACAGACUUGCACCACUACCCCCAGCUAAUUUUUGUGUUUUUAGUAGAGACGGGGUUUCACCAUGUUGGCCACGCUGGUCUCAAACUCCUGGCCUUAUGUGAUCUGCCCCCUCAGCCUCACAAAGCGCUGGUACUGCAGGUAUGAGCCACUGCACCUGGCUUGUAGUAGCUUAAAAUUUUCCUUGAGAAAAUUCCUGACUUUGAAAAUAACCCUUAUAUAAAUACAAAUGAUAUGACAAAUAACAUACAAAUGGCAUUCAUGAUGUCUGAAAGAAGCCUCAAUAGAAUUCAAGAUAGACUAAAUGAUUUUCACUAGGCACAUUCAAGGUUUUACAUUCUGAUUGAAAUUUUUUUUUAAACAUUUUUAUUUCACAUUCUUUCCUGUGUGAUUUUGUUACAAAUACCUUUGGGAAUAAAUAAAGUAGAAUGAUAACUUUUCAGUGCUUCAGAAUUGAAUGAGACUUCUUAUCAUUGCGAUGUUUGGUUUCCAUUCAAAUAUAUUGAGAUGUCAUAUCUGGAAUAUAGUUUCUCCUCCCCAAUUGCUGACAGCAUGUCUGUCAGCCAUUAAAGAUUAAGAACAGUUUCCCAAACUUCCUCUGAUUAUUCCACUAAAGCACAUUAAAAUACUUAGUUUUGGAAAACCAAACAUCACAGAUUUCUUGUGAACUCCUAAAUCUUUGAAGUCAGAAUAGAUAUCUGUUACUGACAGUUUUUAGGUUUUUUUUCUCCGUUGGUGAUAUGUCAUUACAUAAUUGAAAAAAUAUUUUUCUCCUAGGGGUAAGAAAGGUAUUCUGGCAAUAUAUUAUCAUCAAUCCUUAAACAGUAACAGUCUUGGCAUUUUUCUUAAAACCACUAAUUUCUUAUAACCAGAAAGAUUAUCCUAGACUGUCCUUCACAUUAGACUUUACUUACUGCCUUGUAGAAUGAGUUGCUCACUGUGUUUACAUGCUGUCCUGCAUAUUCCCUAUUGCACCAUUGGUGUAUAAUGUUAAAAAGAAUUUCAUUUAAUAUUAUUCAAAGUAUUACAAAAGGCAGCUUGAUUUCAAUCUAUGCAUCUUUGGGGUUUUUGAAGAAGAAAUGUAAUUCUUUGAUGUAAAAAGGAACUGUUAAAAGCUGGAAACUCUGCACCUGUGUAUAUAUAUUUUUUAGCAAUAAAGCAGCAUGAGCUGAGAAUGCACUGAAAUCUA